UACGGGGGGGGCAAGCGUUGUUCGGAAUUACUGGGCGUAAAGGGCUCGUAGGUGGCCAACUAAGUCAUACGUGAAAUCCCUCGGCUUAACCGGGGAACUGCGUCUGAUACUGGAUGGCUUGAGUUCGGGAGAGGGAUGCGGAAUUCCAGGUGUAGCGGUGAAAUGCGUAGAUAUCAGGAGGAACACCGGUGGCGAAGGCGGUUCUCUGGGCAUUACCUGACGCUGAGACGCGAAAGCCAGGGGAGCGAACGGG
rnacentral:rRNA from 1 species